GACGAGGGGUGCAAACGUUAUUCGGAAUGAUUGGGCGAAAAGGGUGCGCAGGCGGUAUGCUAAGUCAACUGUUAAAUUCCUCAGCCUAACUGAGGGUCAGCGGUAGAUACUGGCGUGCUUGAGAGUGGGAGAGAGAAGUGGAAUUCUCGGAGUAGCGGUAAAAUGCGUAGAUCUCGAGAGGAACACCGAUGGCGAAGGCAGGUCUCUGGGCCAUUACUGACACUGAGGAGCGAAAGCGUGGGGAGCGAACAGG
rnacentral:misc_RNA from 1 species